GGUACUUGAACUGUAUAAUAGUAAAUACGAUAUAUAUAUAUAUAUAUAUAUAUAGAGUCCAGCUACUAUGCUAUCGGUAGCACGGAGCGCUCCGUGCUACUAAGUUGUUUUCGAUGAUGCGGCUUCCAAAUCGACGAUCGGCUCCAUUAAACUUGAUCUACACUAUUGAAAGUAUUUGGAAACUAAAUUUCAGAUUUUUUCGAUAUCAUUUGACUAGUGAUCAAAAAAUCUCAAAAUUGACAAUUUUAAUGGCCGAUGUGGUGUGUUUGUGAGUUUAACGGUGUAAAACAAUCCAAAUGCGAUGAAAAUUUUAUAGAAAAUUCUUUUCACUAUUUAGAGUAAGAUCAGUAUAUCUGAUCUUGAAUUUAAAUCUUUUAUCAUCAUUUUUUAUGAGAUUUUUAUUUUCAGCCGUUCAAUUUUAGACUACUUGUUUGAUAGGUAAAUGAUAUCGAAAAAUUAUGAAAUUUAGUUUCUAAAUACUUUCAAUAGUGUAGAUCAAGUCUAACGAGCGAUCGUCGAUUUGGAAGCCGCAUCAUCGAAAAAAACUUGGUAGC
rnacentral:lncRNA from 1 species